UGUGUGUGUGUGUGUGUGUGUUCUUGUUUAUAUGGUAUAGGGGGACAUUUGACCUGAAAUCUCACCAGCACUAUGAGGACAUUUUGGUUUAUGAGGACAUUUUCAAUGUCCCCAUAAGUCGGGCACUGUAGAAGAACUUCCUUCAUUGUUAUUAACUAUGUCCUGCUUUUUUAACUCAUGUCCUAAUAUACCAUAAAGACCUGGUUUUGUUGUGUAUCACACACAGCCCAUACUCCCCCUAUGUCUGGUUGUUGGUAGUGCAGCUUGAUACGAUUUUUUUUCAUUGGCUCAUGGGUUGUAUGCAUGUCUGAUCACCGAUUGGCUACUGCUUCUGUCAAUAACGGGGACGAUCGUUGAUUCGCGGUUGCGUCUUUGAGUCACCGCAUUCUGGCGGUAAACUAUCAACUUUCUAUGUCGCGAGCCUAUAGCUAGUGAAAACCCCGCCAAGAUAUGCUGAAGCUUAUUUUACCUCAGAAGACAUCACCUGAAAGUAACCACGACGCGAAGAGGACUUUUCUAAUGGUUAUCUUGACUACUAAAUAGGUAAGUAAUUUUUCUAUUCACACAAUUGAUCAAAUGUAUUAUUUAGUUUACAAUUUUAUAGCUAAAAUAUAUAAAAUGUGCAGUUUAACACAAACGUGAACAGGGUAGAGUAAUGACUGCUAUAUUACUUGUAGCUUGGUAAUUAUGUACUGUACUCCUGUUCUGUUGUUCAAGCAGGCUAAUGGGUUAAUACUACUGAGAUUAAACUUGCGUUGAUGUUAUUGUUGGAGUGUCUCGCAGUUUUAUAGUCAGUCCUGAGUGUUUUUGUAGGCUGGCUAAUAUGAGUUUUUUUUUUUUUUGCCUGUGCUUAAAACAUUUGUUAAUGUCGUAUUUCUGUCCGAAACGUGAGUUAAUUGUUGUCGUCUGCUUGUUAGCGGUAAGUUAAGUAAUUGUUUCAAGCUAACGUUAGCGAAUGUAAUGAUGGACAUUCAAUGGGCUCUAAAGUGCCAGCAGUUUCUUCUCUCAAAAUGAUUUCGCUUUUAGUGUUGUUUAGAAACUGUAUAAAAAGCCAAUACAUGGCCUUGUGUUUGGCCGUGUUUGAGAAAUGACAAGUGUUCCUCUUGUCAUGAUCUGAUAAUUUGACUGAUGUAUCCCUCAUUCACCCAAGUAGGUGAGUAAUAGUAAUAUAAUAUGAAUAUAGUGUAUUGUCAGGCGUUGUUGCUCAACUGUGCGGUCUAAUAGUAAGAACAAGGGGAACGAGUGGCAAGUACAUUGAUAGGUCUACCUGUUGUGGCUGAGUAGCCCCAUACUGAAGCCACAAUUGAUAUUGAGUUGGAGAACUGUCUUUCAUCACUCAUAGUUCACUAUUACAGUUGGGUUAAAAUAACCCUGUAUGUUGGGUUGUGAUGUAAACACAGCACAUUUGGUCAGAUGAUUGACUUGGUAUUUCAUAAGUGAAGAAAUAUUUAGACUUUGUAUUUCAUAAGUGAAUAAAUAUUUAGACGGUUAGUAACUGAAUGUGGCUGCAGUUGUAUUAUAUCUGUAGUUGUAUUGGCUGCAAACAUGAAUUACUUGCAUCUAAAAUAUAGGUUUAAAAUGCAGUCUUUUGGUAUAUUUAAUUGUGAACAUGACAGCAUUUAUCACUGGAAAGUGUAUAUUUGUACAGUGAUAAUGUAGGCUAAUAGAAUAGUUGGUUUAGCAAAAAGCCUAAGAAAUAUUUUUCUAUUUGUCUAGUAUUGAUGCAGCAAACACUGAAUCACUUGCCAGAUUUGUCAACGAUGACCACAUCAAUCCGAACAGCAAAAUGAAAAGGCUAACAGUUGGAGGGAAGCCCCACCUCUGUUUAUUUGCAACGACCGACAUAAAACCUGGAGAGGAAAUUUCCUAUGAUUAUGCUGACUCGGACUGGCCGUGGUGAAAUAAGCAAAUCCAUGUCCAAGAAAUGUCCGUUACUACAGAGACCGAGAACACUGAAGAGUGUCAGGAUAUUCUUGUACAUUCUGUUGCAUCCUCUUUGGACAAAUGCAAUGUCUGCAGUGGUGGCACAAUGUCAUCACUCAGGUGGUCUGGAAUGCAAUGUAAAGGUGUGUCUUUUCUUGCCCCAAUCUUCAUACUGUAUGAUAAAAACUGUCCACAACAAAAACGAUUCUUAAACAUCGAGACUGCUAGU